UUGCAGACCACAGAUGACAUCCUGGUGGCCUCGGCUGAAUGUCCUAGCGAUGAUGAGGACAUCGAUCCCUGUGAGCCGAGCUCAGGUGGGUUAGCAAAUCCUACCAGGGCAGGAGGAGGAAGGGAGUACCCUGGCUCGUCUGAGGUGAUUCGUGAAUCCAGCAGCACAACAGGCAUGGUAGUUGGGAUCGUGGCAGCAGCGGCACUGUGUAUCCUCAUUCUCCUGUACGCUAUGUACAAGUACAGGAAUCGAGACGAAGGAUCGUAUCACGUAGAUGAGAGUCGAAACUACAUCAGUAACUCAGCACAAUCCAAUGGGGCUGUGAUCAAGGAAAAACAGCCCAACAGCGCUAAAAGUUCCAACAAAAACAAGAAAAAUAAGGAUAAGGAGUACUAUGUCUGAUCUCAACAUCUAAAAGAACGCUUGUAUAGAAAUAGUCUUCAUUUUAUCUGAGACAUAAUACAAACUUAUUUACUUUACUUUUUAUGAAGCACAUUCAAAAACAAACAAACAAACAAGACAGGGAAUGCAAUCAGAAAGGAAAGACUGUUUUUAAAAACAAGCAUUUCAUGCUCUUGUUUUUCAGAAACAGGAGCUGAUAAAUUCCCUAACAUUCACAGUGUUUUCAUUUACUCUGCCUGUCUUUAUGUUGCUGGAACAUUUCUGAAAGACAAUGAUGACACCACGCAUUCAUAAAGCAAGGAGUAUUACUACAACAUCAAGGCACAAUAUGAAACAAAAUAAAUUAAAAAAAAAACAAAACAGGAAAAAAAAAGAAAAAAAGAAGCUACCUAUGAUUCUGGAUUUAGCCAAAGUGCUAGCGCUUUCUUGAGAAGUAAGUUAGUCUUAUUGUCAGAGAAGACUGUCAUUAUAUAUGGUGACUCAACAAGCAAACAUAAAGAGUUUGCCGUCUGGUGCAGUGAAGCAGUGAUUGGAAACUUGCAUUUGAAACAAAGUGCUGGCUUUUCUGAAGACUUACGUAGAAAUACUUUCAAAAAGCCCCUUUCUGGUUGUGAGGAAAAUAGUACGGAGGCCUUAUUUUCAAAAACAAAAACAAAAAUCUGGAAUAUAAGGCACAUUUCCACAAAAAAAAAGAAAAAAAUAAACAAGAGGGCAUAGAUGCAAUCAUUGGGAAAUUUUCAUGCACGCUUAAUAUGUUAUUACAUAUGUUUAUAUAAAAACACAUCUAUAUGUGCUUUCUGGACUGUGAUAAGUGAUGUUUUAUAGCCUGUUGUAUAGAAAAUGCAAACUAUAUCUGCUCUUCAGCCAUUUUUGGUAAAUUCAAUGUUAUAAGUGUUGCUAGGUAUAGAGAGUUUUAUGACAUCUGGAGCAACAGACAUACUUCAUUUUUUUUGCAGCCAUUAUAAAUUGUCCCAGACUUCUUCCCCUUUUUUUUUCUGGGGUUUUUUUUUGGGGUUUUUUUUGGUUUUUUUUUUUACAGUGUAGUGGUUAUACUAAGGGGGAUGUGUAUGAAUGUAUAUAAGAGUCAGCUAAUUUUUUUCUUACCUGUACAGCCUCUAUUCUGUUGCAAUUAAGUUUUAGUAGUUUGUAUGAAAGAAGUGGACUAGAAAGCAAAAAUAUCUCUCUACUGUAAUUUGUCUUCUCCCUCCUAUCCCCAUCUCUUGCUCCUGAUAUGCAUCAAUGAAGUUGAUCAGAAUGGCCAAUUUUCCUAGAAAAAUACAUUCAUUAAUUAGCUAAAUAUUUAGUGACUUAAACUGGCCUUUGGCUUCCAGUCAAAGCUUCACUAUUGGAGAGCAUGGUUUGCCUUACAGAAACCUUGUUCUUAAGAAAUUAUGAGAAUGAUGAGUUUCUUGAGAAUCUUAGGAAGUAUCAUAUAGUGUUUAUCUGGCAUUCAGUUAUAUGAACGACAGCUACUACAGCAUUGGGUGGUAAAAGAUCUAAAAAGACCCAUUUUAAUUAUCCAGGCUGAUUCUACUGCAGAAUUUACCCCUUUCUCCAAAAUGGAAAGAAUCUUGAGGUGCACGAUAAUAUUUUUCAAUGGUGGGCAUUUUAACAUACAAAAAAGUAUUUUUAGCUAAGUUGAUUGUGUAGUAUUGCAAGACAUCAUAACCAGACAAAUAUAAGUUCAUCAUGUUUUAAAGUAACACAUAGCUUUUCUUGCAUAUAUAAAACAUUAAUGCAUUUUAGUUAAACAUAUUCAAUAUAAUGCUGUAAUUUACAUGUUAAGGUUUUUUUCUAGUACUAUUUCAUUAGUUUCACAGCAAUAAAUCAUAGCAUAACAUUUUAUUUACAUGGAAGUUCAAAGGGAAUACAUUAGGCAGAAAGAGGGUAGUUCAAUAGAAAUCAACCAAAUCAUCAGAAGGCCUCCUGGGAGGGAUAUAGAUGUUCACACUUUACAGACAGGAAGGAGGAAUUUAAAAUUAGCUUUAAACAGCAGGCACAAAACAUUUUAUGUGUGUAAUUCACUGUAGCUGAUUAAAAAGGCUGGAAACUGGUACAGCUAUCUAUCUGGGAGUCAGAGCACUUUAAAAAUACAUGUAGCUGACAUGAAAACACCUCUCUUUCUUGAAGGUUGCCAACCACAUUGAGAUGUGUCAUGUUGCAUUUGUAAAUCAUUUUCUUAUUUUCAUUAACAUUUACACAAAAAUGAGAACAGGUUACAGAAUCCAUCUGACAUUCAUUCCUUAGAUUGUUAUUUACCUGUGGUAUUCCUAAUAUCUCCCACAUUUACAAGACAGCUGUACUCAGGGAACAGCAGGGUCAGGUAUACUGGAGGUCAUUGCUGGAAGCAAGAGACUUCAGCUGGAGGGGGGGAAAGAAGAAGUUGAAAGCCAGGUGGUGUUCAGAUUUCAGUGAUUAAAGAUAUGUGGAAGAACAAGAAUAAUCUGAUGACAGGAGAUUGGACAUGAUGGAAUAUGGUUUGGGCGAGAUGAAAUGGUCUUUUCUGCUUGGUAUUGAUUGCAUUAAUGAAAUAGCAUGGUCAGGUCAACUUCCAGGCAGUUCGGUAGAUUAAUCUUUAACUAAAUCCAUACAUCAAGGAAAAAAAGAUCUGCUACUACAAUAAGCAAACAUGAUUUUAACACUGUUUCUGAAGGUUCUCCUUUUUCCUCUUUAAUUUUAUAAUUUAACAAAAAACAAAUAUGGAUGUAUCAGAAGUGCCAGCAAGUGGAUUUAAAAUUCCUUUUUGUUUAAAAACAGCAGCAACAACAAACAAACAAACAGACAUAAACCAACUACCUAACAUAAAAUUGGAUCCUUUCUCUAUAAUAACCUAAUUUGUUUGACUGAGAUGGCUUCAUUUCUAUGACUGUAUUGUGUUGCCUUUUUUAACAAAACACUAAAUAACGUGUGAAACUUUCAACCCUAAGACAUCGAAGAGAGGCCCAAUGCCCCUAACCUUAUAGUGCUUUCUGUGAUAGAUAUUUACGAUUUUUUUAUUUGUUGCAAGGCCAAUUUAUUCAUUAUUGGAAAUGCUAAGCAAGUGGAAUUUACUGUUUUGUUAAUAAAAAUGUUUCUUAAUACAAA